CCACAGCCUCUCUUCUUACCUCAUGACUCAGCUUCUAUCUCAGGCCCCUGCUGCUGAGGCAUUCCAGUGUUCUCCCUCCCAGCCACCAGCCGCCUGAACUCUGGACGCCCCUUCACCCCAACUAAGUCAGCUUGGGCCCUGCCUGGCCCCCACCCACUGAGCUCAGUCACAUCAGCCCCUCCCUGUGGGGUGUCCCACAGCAGUCAGCUGCUGCUUGCAGUUCAUUGGUGGGGACCACAUACCAGCCACCCCUGGAGCUGGAGUUCAAACGUGGACCUCCUAGCAUGUGUUUGAUCAGCUGAGGCCAAAUCCACAACCUUCUAGGAAAUGGCGCCUACCAGCUCAGCUGUUCUCUGGAGCAACCGGGGACUUAUGGCCAAACAGCCAAGGCAUGAAGGAAGCUGCUCUGGCCACACUGACAAGAAACCAGCAGGAACAGAUGUGGGCAGUGCUUGAUGACUCUGCAGCAGAAUCCUACCAUCUAUUGCUCAGGACAUCUGAUCACUCAGCUUCCAGAAGUGUCUGCACAGCCGGAAGUACACCAAAGCCUCAGCCCAUUCCAGGCAUGGCCCCAGGCCUGUCAUCUCAGUUCCCUGGGUCAUCCUGACACACCUGCACAGACUCGGAAAGGAGCCCUAGUGGCUGAGGAUUGGUCUACUUCUGGCCCAAGAAAUAUUUCACAAGUGACUUCACUAGGUCCUGUGUCCUGACACUCUGAUGGCUGUGUCCUUCCCAGGUUCUCACCUGGGCCAGACUCUAGCACUUAUAUGCAUAACCAAAGCUGAUUAAAGCAACAAUACACCAUCCUUGAGUUUCUUUUUCUCUCUUUUUAAAAUUAAUUUCUUUAUUUAAAUUUAAAACAAUCUUAUUUCACAUACUAAUCCCAGUUCCCUCUCCCUCCCGUUCUCCCAUGC
rnacentral:lncRNA from 1 species